GACGAACGCUGGCGGCGUGCUUAACACAUGCAAGUCGAACGGAAAGACGCUGCUUGCAGGGUACUCGAGUGGCGAACGGGUGAGUAACACGUGGGUGAUCUGCCCUGCACUUCGGGUUAAGUCUGGGAAACUGGGCCUAAUACCGGAUAGGAGCCAUUUUGAGUGUGAUGGUUCGACAGUUUUUUCGGUGUAGGAUGAGCGGGCGGCCUAUCAGCUUGUUGGUGGGGUAAUGGCCUACCAAGGCGGCGACGGGUAGCCGGCCUGAGAGGGUGGACGGCGACAAGAGGACUAAGGGACGGACCAGUGUGCAACGGGAGGCAGUGGUGGAGAGUAUUGCACAAUGGGGGCACGUGUGAUGCGACGGUGUUCGGAGGGGAAAGACGGCCUACGGGGUAUAAACUCCUGUCGCUAGGGACGUAGCUGUUGUGACGGUACCUAGAUAAGAAGCACCGGCUAACUACGUG
rnacentral:rRNA from 1 species